rnacentral:rRNA from 1 species
UAGGGAAUCUUCCGCAAUGGACGCAAGUCUGACGGAGCAACGCCGCGUGAGUGAAGAAGGAUUUCGGUUCGUAAAACUCUGUUGUUAGAGAAGAACAGCGCAUAGAGUAACUGUUAUGCGUGUGACGGUAUCUAACCAGAAAGCUACGGCUAACUACGUGCCAGCAGCCGCGGUAAUACGUAGGUGGCAAGCGUUGUCCGGAUUUAUUGGGCGUAAAGCGAGCGUAGGCGGUCAAUUAAGUCUGAUGUGAAAGCCCCCGGCUCAACCGGGGAGGGUCAUUGGAAACUGGUUGACUUGAGUGCAGAAGAGGAGAGUGGAAUUCCAUGUGUAGCGGUGAAAUGCGUAGAUAUAUGGAGGAACACCAGUGGCGAAGGCGACUCUCUGGUCUGUAACUGACGCUGAGGCUCGAAAGCGUGGGUAGCAAACAGG